rnacentral:tRNA from 2 species
GCAAAUAUAGUUUAAUCAAAAACAUUAGAUUGUGAAUCUAAACAUAGGAGUUCAAGCCCCCUUAUAUGCC